rnacentral:misc_RNA from 1 species
CAAUAAGAGUGUUUAUGGCACUUUUCAAAAAAAAUCCAUACCCACCUUGUGUGCAACGUAAAAAGAAAAGAAACGCGAGUCGGAUUGGAGAAAUCCAAUACAACUUUGCAUUCUUCUCUUUUCCACAUACACCUUUCUAUAAUCCUAUUGUUCUGAAACUGUUAGAGAAUUCACUAAUUCUUAAACA